rnacentral:rRNA from 1 species
UACGAAGGGGGCGAGCGUUGUUCGGAAUUACUGGGCGUAAAGCGCACGUAGGCGGAUCUUUAAGUCAGGGGUGAAAUCCUGGAGCUCAACUCCAGAACUGCCUUUGAUACUGGGGAUCUCGAGUCCGGAAGAGGUGAGUGGAACUCCGAGUGUAGAGGUGAAAUUCGUAGAUAUUCGGAAGAACACCAGUGGCGAAGGCGGCUCACUGGUCCGGUACUGACGCUGAGGUGCGAAAGCGUGGGGAGCAAACAGG